UACGUAGGAUCCAAGCGUUAUCCGGAAUCAUUGGGCUUAAAGGGCCCGUAGGCGGUUUAUUAAGUCAGUGGUGAAAUCUGGUCGCUCAACGAUCAAACGGCCAUUGAUACUGUUAGACUUGAAUUACUGGGAAGUAACUAGAAUAUGUAGUGUAGCGGUGAAAUGCUUAGAUAUUACAUGGAAUACCAAUUGCGAAGGCAGGUUACUACCAGUGGAUUGACGCUGAUGGACGAAAGCGUGGGGAGCGAACAGG
rnacentral:rRNA from 1 species